rnacentral:rRNA from 1 species
GGCACCGGGGGAGUGGCAACACUUCCGCCUGCGAGCGGCGCACGGGUGAGUAACACCUAUUAAACCUGCCCCCCCCCCGGGGAUGAUCGGAACAAAUUCCGUCUAAUACCGCGUAACAACCGACGGGGGCAUCCCUGUUGGUUCAAAGGAGCGAUCCUGCUGCGGAUGGUCAUGCGGCUCAUUACCUAGUUGGCGGGGCAACGGCCCACCAAGGCGACGAUGCAUAGGGGUUCUGAGAUGAACGUCCCCCACACUGGUACUGAGACACGGACCAGACUCCUACGCGAGGCAGCAGUGCGGAAUAUUGGUCAAUGGCCGAGAGGCUGAACCAGCCAAGUCGCCUGAGGGAUGACGGCCCUACGGGUUGUAAACCUCUUUUGCCGGGGAGCAACGAGCGGGACGCGUCCCGCCUCGCGAGUACCCGGAGAAAAAGCAUCGGCUAACUCCGUGCCAGCAGCCGCGGUAAUACGGAGGAUGCGAGCGUUAUCCGGAUUUAUUGGGUUUAAAGGGUGCGCAGGCGGAAGCGCAAUUCAGCGGUAAAACCGAGAGGCUCAACCUCUUCCCGCCGUUGAAACUGCCUUUCUUGAGUGCGCGAGAAGUACGCGGAAUGCGUGGUGUAGCGGUGAAAUGCAUAGAUAUCACGCAGAACUCCGAUUGCGAAGGCAGCGUACCGGCGCCCAACUGACGCUCAUGCACGAAAGCGUGGGUAUCGAACAGGAUUAGAUACCCUGGUAGUCCACGCAGUAAACGAUGAAUACUAGCUGUCCGGGGAGACUGGUCUUUGGGCGCUCAAGCGAAAGCAUUAAGUAUUCCACCUCCGGAGUAAGCCGGCAAGGGGGAAACUCAAAGGAAGCGAGGGGGGCCCGCACAAGCGGAGGAACUAUGUGUGCUUAAUUAGAUGAGACGAGAGGAACGUUACCCGUGUUCAAAAGACGGAUGAAUAGUCUUGAAAGGAGGUAGUCCUUCGGGACAUCCCUCGAGGUGGCGUCAUGGUAGUAGUCAGCUCGUGCUGUGAGGUGUAGGGUUAAGUGCCAUAAUGAGCGCAACCCCCAUCACCAGUUGCCAACAGGUAAAGAUCGGAACUAUGGAGAGAUCGCCGGCGCAAGCAGCGAGGAAGGCGGGGAUGAUGUCAAAUCAGCACGGCCGCUAAGUCCGGGGAGACACAAGUGGUACAAAGGCAGGGACAGAGAGACGCGACACGGGGAAGGGGAGCCGAACUGUCAAAACCUGUCUCACUUCGGAUCGGAGUAUGCAACCUGAGUCGGGGAAGGUGGAUUAGAUAGUAAUCGAGCAUCAGCCAUGG